GACGAACGCGGCGGCGUGCCUAAUACAUGCAAGUCGAACGAGAGCGACCGGUGCUUGCACUGGUCAAUCUAGUGGCGAACGGGUGAGUAACACGUGGGUAACCUGCCCAUCAGAGGGGGAUAACAUCCGGAAACGGAUGCUAAAACCGCAUAGGUCUUCGAACCGCAUGGUUUGAAGAGGAAAAGAGGCGCAAGCUUCUGCUGAUGGAUGGACCCGCGGUGCAUUAGCUAGUUGGUGAGGUAACGGCUCACCAAGGCCGUGAUGCAUAGCCGACCUGAGAGGGUGAUCGGCCACAUUGGGACUGAGACACGGCCCAAACUCCUACGGGAGGCAGCAGUAGGGAAUCUUCCGCAAUGGACGCAAGUCUGACGGAGCAACGCCGCGUGAGUGAAGAAGGUUUUCGGAUCGUAAAACUCUGUUGUUAGAGAAGAACAAGUGCUAGAGUAACUGUUAGCGCCU
rnacentral:rRNA from 1 species